AAUAUUGCACAAUGGAGGGAACUCUGCUGCAGCAACGCCGCGUGAGUUAAGAAGGAUUUCGGAUCUUAAAACUCUGUCAUUGGGGAAGAAUAAUUGACGGUAACCAUUGAGGAAGCCCCGGCUAACUACGUGCUAGCUGCCGCGGUAAUCCGUAGGGGGCAAGCGUUGUCCGGAAUUAUUGGGCGUAAAGGGUGAGUAGGCGGCCCUUUAAGUCAGAAGUAUAAGCCAACGGCUGAACCGUGGAACUGCAUGUGAAGCUGGAGGGCUGGAGUGUCGGAGAGGACAGUGGAAUUCCCAAGGUAGCGAUGGAAUACGUAGAUAUUGGGAGGAACACCAGUGACGAAGGUGACUACCUGGACGAGAACUGACGCUGAGGCACGAAAGCUAGAGGAGCAAACA
rnacentral:rRNA from 1 species